rnacentral:lncRNA from 1 species
AUGAAGCCAAAGAUGGCGGCAGAGGGGGCGGGGAGGGUCCUGCCUGGCCAGUCCAAGGCCCUUUCCCAGCCUGAGACUCCCUGUUCCUCCCUCAGGCCAGGGAAGGGCCUGGGAACCCCUCUGACCCUCCCCCUCUCUCUUUCCCCCAGGCACACACAGAGGAAGUCUCCCCCCCCCUCCGGGCUGCCACCCCCUGAAGGACCCCAGGGUGGCCCCAGCAGAGAGCCCCCAGCCAGAGGAAUGGCCCCUGGGACCCCGAGGCCCCCUCCCAGUUUUGCUGCUUCCAGGACUUUUCUGUCACUAUGGGUAGGAGGCCCUAAUGGUGGAUACAGAAUAGAAAGUUGAAUGUAGCAAGCAGGAAAGUAACAUAUAUCUUUCCUCUUUUUGGAGGCCUCAAAACAUAAGGGACAGUCCUGAGGCCACUGAUCAACUGCCACCUUGACUUUUCUCCCCAGCACCAUCCCUAGUUAAUUUGUUACACCAAAGUGUUCCUAUCUCAAACAAAGAAUGUAAACACACCUUUUCCUGGGAUGAAUUAGCUUUUGUCUACACACCAAUUUGCCUCAUAAUCUGGUUGCAUUCACCAAGCUUAUCCCUUGAUAUGGACAAAUAAUAAUAAAUUAGCUGGAGGUGGGGAAACUGAUGCA